rnacentral:lncRNA from 1 species
UGGCUGCGUUUGGGACCUUGGGUGUCUUGUUUACUACUAAUUUAUGAAAAUUAUUCACGUCUCCUUUGAAUUGUGUUGAUAAUGAAUGUUGAUACACAGAUAAUAUAAAUUAUGGAAUAUUUUUGUACUGUCUUCUGCUUUUUGUUAAAUCCUUUUUUUCUAUUAGUUGAAAUAUAUAUGUAGUGUUGAUUGCUCGCAUUGCCCCACCAUUCUAUUGUAUUGCUACUUGCUUCCAGUCCUCCAUCGUCGUCCGCCAGAGUAUUAAGAUUAGUAUAGCGUUCUGAUUUUAAUUCGCGUCCGAUGGCUCUGGUCAAUUUAUGAUUUUAGCGAAUUUGUGAUUUGUGAAUAUGUGAUUUGUAAAUUCGUGAUUGGAUAAUUAAUUCGUGAUUUGUGUUUGUCAAUUGUGAUUCGUGAGAUUUAGUUGUGGACUGCAUCAACAAUUCAAAAUAGAUACAACAUUAUUAUUGAGAUUGUAGUUUAUGAAACCGUUAAAAGUAGUAACUUAAACCAUUAUUCAUUAUUGAUAGACUGAUUACUUUUUCACUUGAAUUGAUUCUUCUCAUUGUAUGUUUGUAUCAGUUAUGGAAAAGAAUUUUAAACGUAAAUCUGCGUUUUCUUGCGAUGAGCAAAAUGUUAAUGGAAGAAAUGUUCAAGAUAAAAGGGAUGGACAUGAUGCUGAAGAUAAAAAGGAUGACAAACUUGGGGAUGAAAUGAAUGAAAUUGGUGGAACUAAUAUUGGAGAUGUCCCAAUUGAAACAAUUAUCAGGAAUGUUGGAGAUGAAAGGCUUGAAUUUGAUAUUGCACAGCUUCCUUCAGAUCCUGGAUUGAGGGUUCCAAUACAAAAUUAUGAUGCUAAUGUUUGAGAUGUAAUUCGAAGAGCAUAAGUGCAAAGGGGUCCAUGUCAGCCUCGCAAUCAUGAAUUUCCACCUAAAAAAUGGCUAAAAAAGAUAGGUGAUUUUGUGUUUCAUGGUAUAACGAGUAUCCUAGUUGGUUGGAAUACAGUAUAGGAAAAAAAGCUGUAUUUUGCUUAAACUGCUAUCUUUUUAGCUCAAGUUGUGGUUCAUUUGUUAAUAGUGGGUUCUCAAAUCGGAAAAGAAAGGAAAUUAUUAGAAAACAUGUUGGGGCACCCCAAAUAGUGUACACUAUCAGGCUCGGGUCGGGUAUGAAUCAUUCAAAAAUCAAGGACAAAGCAUUCAAUUGUGUUUCUUUAAGCAAUUACAUCAAGUUCGAACAGAGUAUUGAAUUCAUUUGAAUGCAUCAAUUGGUUGUGUUCGGUUUAUUCUACGACAAUGGAUGGACAUGGUGAAUUUGAAGAUUCAAACAAUCGAGGAAACUUUCUUAAACUAAUACAUUGGUUGUGAUAUCAUAAUACUGAGAUUAAGGUUGUUGCUUUGAUGAAUGCACUUGAAAAUCACAAAUUGACAUCACCACAAGUUCAGAAAGAUAUUGUGAGUGCUAUCGCUUCUGCAACUCUUAAUGUGAUUUUCAAAGAUAUGGGAGAUGACUUGUUUUCUAUUGUAGUUGAUGAAUUUCGAGACAAUUCAAUGAAGAAUAAAUGUCAAUUAUCAUUCGUUAUGUAUAGAAUGGGCGUGUAUUGAAAUAUUUUAUUGGUGUCACGCAUGUUUGAAGUACCACAGCUAAUGUACUUAAGAUUGCAAUUUAUCAAUUAUUCUCCAUUCAUAACUUAAGUACAUCUAAUAUUAGAGGUUAAGGAUAUGAUGGAGUGAGUAAUAUGCGAGGUGGGAGAUUAUUCCUGUUAUGUGCAGCAAUUUUAUAUAUGGAAUUUGGGAUUCAAUAUUUCAAUUUCUUAUUCAUGUAAUUGUAACCCUUUUUUUUGUGUGCACUGUGCAGCUUCUUCAUUACAGUAUUUUCAUUCUUGAAAGCUAAGGUUCUUGCACUAGGAGAGGAAGAGAGGAGAGAGAAAUUAAAGGUUCUACUUACUUUCCCUGUUUCCCGUUUCUUCAGUUUCCAUACAUUUAUUCUUGUUUUUAAGAUUUGUGUUUAAGUUCUUAGAUGGUUAUGGAGGGGAAGGUCUAUAUGUUGAGAGUUUCUUAUACAUGCCCAUUUCAAGAAAUUCCGUUUCCAAAACAAAAAAUAACUUACCAGCAUUAUUUUGGUGAAAAAAAGAAGGAAAAAUGGAAGCCAAUUUGUUCUUUGAGACUUUGAUUUGUUCAAGAAAGCUUUUUCUGUUUGUAAAUUAUAAUCCAACUUCCAUGGAGAGGUUUAGGUGGCAGAAUUAUUGAAAAAAAUUGGUCAAUUUCAAGCUCUAAUUGGAAAUUGGAAUUAUGGCUGCGUUUGGGACCUUGGGUGUCUUGUUUACUACUAAUUUAUGAAAAUUAUUCACGUCUCCUUUGAAUUGUGUUGAUAAUGAAUGUUGAUACACAGAUAAUAUAAAUUAUGGAAUAUUUUUGUACUGUCUUCUGCUUUUUGUUAAAUCCUUUUUUUCUAUUAGUUGAAAUAUAUAUGUAGUGUUGAUUGCUCGCAUUGCCCCACCAUUCUAUUGUAUUGCUACUUGCUUCCAGUCCUCCAUCGUCGUCCGCCAGAGUAUUAAGAUUAGUAUAGCGUUCUGAUUUUAAUUCGCGUCCGAUGGCUCUGGUCAAUUUAUGAUUUUAGCGAAUUUGUGAUUUGUGAAUAUGUGAUUUGUAAAUUCGUGAUUGGAUAAUUAAUUCGUGAUUUGUGUUUGUCAAUUGUGAUUCGUGAGAUUUAGUUGUGGACUGCAUCAACAAUUCAAAAUAGAUACAACAUUAUUAUUGAGAUUGUAGUUUAUGAAACCGUUAAAAGUAGUAACUUAAACCAUUAUUCAUUAUUGAUA